rnacentral:tmRNA from 1 species
GGGGAUGUAAUGGUUUCGACAUAUUACCAGAAAUAUAAAUAGCAAGUAGUGGAUUCUCGUUGGCCACUUAAAAAACGAGAAACUAAAUAUAAACGCUAAUAAACAAGAAGUAGCAUUAGCUGCCUAAGUUGCAGCUACACUUUACUAGAUAUCCCACAUAUUUAGAUAAAGUGCCGAUUUUGUGGGAAACAAAACUACUUUUGCUUCAAAAGUAGUGGGUAUUUAGAAGCUAUAUCUUAUUUUAACCUGUUUAUCGGUGAAAAUAAGAUGAAAUUAAAAGAUAAACUAAACUUGUAGAAGUUUAUAUGGAAAGUAUUAUGGACAGGAGUUCGACUCUCCUCAUCUCCACCA